UAAUUGAAGAGUUUGAUCAUGGCUCAGAUUGAACGCUGGCGGCAGGCCUAACACAUGCAAGUCGAGCGGUAACAGA
rfam:Photobacterium iliopiscarium strain ATCC 51761 CFSAN029430_contig0021, whole genome shotgun sequence.